UACAGGAGGUCAGCAGUGUUCGUGAAUUCAUUGGGCGUAAAGCGCGCGUAGGUGGCCCCAUAAGUCCGCUGUGAAAGUCAAAGGCUCAACCUUUGAAAGCCGGUGGAUACUGUGGGGCUAGAGUACGGAAGAGGCGAGUGGAAUUCCUGGUGUAGCGGUGGAAUGCGCAGAUAUCAGGAGGAACACCAAUAGCGAAGGCAGCUCGCUGGGACGUUACUGACACUGAGGCGCGAAAGCGUGGGGAGCGAACAGG
rnacentral:rRNA from 1 species